GAUCGGAGCCUGGAGCCGGUGUGUGCUGGGCGCAGGGAAGACACAGCGCCGCCGGCCGUGGGGGACGGACGCACUGAUUUGCUCCCCUACCCUCAGCAGCCCCCCCACCCAGCACCAGGUGGGUGUGAGCUGGGGUCUCCGCCGCACAGGAGGGAACCGUGCUAACAGGGUAACGGGGGAAAGUAGGGUCCUGGUGGCCACACCCUGCCCUUCCGGGGGAGGGGAGAGGGGGCGGCGGGGGUAGGGGAGCUUUGGGGCAGAGGGGCCUGAACUGGCUGGAGUAGUGUGGCAGGAGGUUUAAAGAAGGAGCCAGGACAGCAGUAGUGGCGGAAGGUUUUGCAGAGUGGCUAAAAGGGAGACGAGGGGCUGGAGGGCUGGGGGCAGCUAACCUGGGCGCCCCCUGGUCAAAGGAUAUGAGAACUGGCCUUCUAGCUUGCGGAGGGUUUGGACCCGGCGGGUAGUGAGGAGGUAGUUUUCCUUUACUGGCAGUCAGUGGGUCAGGGCCAAUUGAGCGCCCUGGCAGGGAAGGGGUCUCUGGGCGGGCCGGCCCCUCCUCUCGUUCCCUCCAGGGGAUGUUAUGUAAGGGGGGAGGGGAGAGGAGUAGGGGGCGGCGGUGCGGGGGCCUUAUGCAACCCAAAGGUUAGGGUUUCACCGCGGUUGGUGGGGGAAGCGGGCUGGAGGAGGACCUGGAAACUCUAACCCCCCCUCCCCAGCCUAACUGGCCGUCUUGGGCCCAGAGAAGGUCACCUCUGCACCUCCCCCCAGCAUGUCCGGUUGUGGGGCCCCUAGCCCAGGCCUGGCCCUGACCGCCUGGGAAGCCGGCUGACUGGGUGGGGCGCCUGGGUUAGUCAUCACUGGGCUCCCUCUCUCCCCACCUCUCGGCCAACUCUUGGCCCCUCCCUAUGGCCUCUCGCUAGGCUAUCGCCCCCACCUCCCUCCGGCCCUAGUUACAGCCUCCAACUCAUUUGGCCUGUCAUCCUGGCUGUCAGACUGGGCUAGGAAUUGUCAGGGUGCCAAAGGGUUGAUGGAGCAGCUGGUCAGAGGGUCAGUGCCCUGGGCCCACCCCGCCCUGCAGCCAAGGGCACCUGCUUGGCACAGACUCUGAGCAGCCGCUGAGUCCUAUGGGCUGAAUAGAGCUGGCUCAGACAGAGGAGAGUGGGAAGGAGUUGGACUGGUCACCUGGGGGAAGGAAGAUACCACAAAGUUCAUGUCUCCCUAGAGGGUUUUGUAAUUUGAAAACCUCCCACCCCCACCCUAGUCUUUCUUAUCCUCUGAGUAUAGAAGUCUGAAAGCAAGACCGCCUUGGCCGCUCACACUGGCAUGGGCCAUGCCCUUGGACUGAGUGUCAGCACAGACCCGCCCUCCCCAGCUCUCAGCCCUCUAGCCUGCCACGCCCCCAGCCCCCUCCCUGGGCCAUGCUGCAGGGCCCGGCUUUUCCUGCUGAUUCAUGCGUUGGAACUGUGGGGGCGGGGCUUGGAACUUGGAACAAAGUUCAGACAUGGAGGGGCCGGCAGACAGCCUGGAAUUCAUACCAGAUGUACCCGGAAUGCGCAAGCGGAAUGCCUGGCAUUUGAGAGUCUUGGGGAAGCUGCCCAUCCACCCUGCCCAUACCUCCCUCCCCUCCAGCCUUUGGUCCCCUGUCCUCUCCUCACAGUCCCUGGAGCCUCUGCUGACCUUCCAAACACUUCCUUACUCUUCCCCAGAUGUAGGCCCCCAAAACUCUUCUAGCUGAACUCUUUGGGAACAAGUCAGUUGGGCUGAUCACUGAACUCACAUUUUUGGACCUAAGGUACAACUUCUCACCAAGUACCUGGGCGAUUGGUGGGACGUGUCCAAGGUUCUAAGUCCUGCCCUCUCUGAAUGCUGAAGAGGAGGGGCCCUUCGUGGGUAGCUGAGGCAAGGGGUGGGGGGUGGGGUGAGAGCAGGCCUGGGUCUCUACAGCCUUCAGUUCUGGAAAGAGGUGCAAGGAGGUAUGUUUAGAGCUGCCUCUUGCUUCUCACUGAAGUCAACCGCUCCUGCAGGCCCAAGUCAAAGCCAAGAACCCUUUGUUACAAGGUUGAGCAUCUGUUGGAGCUGGACUUUGAUGCCAGUGGGACAGUGCCCCUGUGACAUGGCCCUGCUUAGAUCCUUCCCAUUUUUCUUCCCUUUCCUUUUAGGAGCCUGUCCCUCCCACAUCCUCAACUGGCUGAGCCGCAGUAGUUCUUCAGUGGCAAGCUUUAUGUCCUGACCCAGCUAAAGCUGCCAGUUGAAGAACUGUUGCCCUCUGCCCCUGGCUUCAAGGAGGAGGAGGAAGAGGAGAAGGAGCUGCUUUCCCCCUCAUCUGGAAGGUGACGGAACUGGGGCUGGGAAGGUCAGAACAGCGGGAGUGGUGAUGCCUUUUGGAAAAGGGAACCUUGUUCAGUUGGAGACCCUUCAGCCAGAUUGGCCCAGCAAGAGAGAACAGUUGUAGAUUAGAGACCCUCGUUGGGCUGGGGACUAGAUGGCUGUGACUACCCAAG
rnacentral:lncRNA from 1 species